GACGAACGCUGGCGGCGUGCUUAACACAUGCAAGUCGAGCGGUAAGGCCCUUUCGGGGGUACACGAGCGGCGAACGGGUGAGUAACACGUGGGUGACCUGCCCUCAGCUCUGGGAUAAGCCUGGGAAACCGGGUCUAAUACUGGAUAUGACUCCAUGACGCAUGUUGUGGGGUGGAAAGCCUUGUGCGGCUGAGGAUGGGCCCGCGGCCCUAUCAGCUUGUUGGUGGGGUGANGGCCUACCAAGGCGACGACGGGUAGCCGGCCUGAGAGGGCGACCGGCCACACUGGGACUGAGACACGGCCCAGACUCCUACGGGAGGCAGCAGUGGGGAAUC
rnacentral:rRNA from 1 species